rnacentral:rRNA from 1 species
GCAUGUCUAAGUAUAAAUUCUUGUACGAUGAAACUGCAGACGGCUCAUUACAACAGUGAUAAACUAAUAGACUUUCGGGUUUUUAACCUUUUGGAUAACCGCAGUAAAUCGGGGCUAAUACAUACAAGCGAUGGGUGACUGGCAACGGAAGCUCAGCGAUUAUUAGCAUUACUACCAAUACCUUCGGGUCUUGUGGUGAAACCGAAUAAUAUUGCAGAUCGAGGAUUUAUCUUCGACAAGUCUACUGUGUCACUGCCCUAUCAACUUUCGAUGGUACGGUAUUGGCCUACCAUGGUUGUAACGGGUAACGGGGAAUUAGGGUUCGAUUCCGGAGAGGGAGCCUGAGAAAUGGCUACCACUUCUACGGAAGGCAGCAGGCGCGCAAAUUACUCAAUCCCAAUACGGGGAAGUAGUGACAAUAAAUAUCAAUACCUAUCCUUAACGGAGGGCAAUUGAAAUGAACACAAAUUAAAACUCUUAAUUAACACAAUUGGAGGGCAAGUCUGGUGCCAGCAGCCGCGGUAAUUCCAGCUCCAAUAGCAUAUACUAAAGUUGUUGCAGUUAAAAAGCUCGUAGUUGAAGUUAAAGGUUUACUGGGCUAAAGUUAUUUGCCACUCUGGUGGUUAAAUCAACUCCAGUAUUCCUUUUUUUAAUAGCUCUGCUUCUAGCAUCUUUGAUGUUAGUUGUUUGGGCAUUUCACUGUGAGAAAAUUGUGGUGUUUAAAGCAGGCGUCUCGCCUGAUCUUUUGCAGCAUGGUAUGAUGAAACAUGACAUUUUACG